UGGGGAAUAUUGGGCAAUGGGCGCAAGCCUGACCCAGCCAUGCCGCGUGAGUGAUGAAGGCCUUCGGGUCGUAAAGCUCUGUGGGGAGGGACGAAACAGCACGUGGCUAACAUCCACGGGCCUUGACGGUACCUCCUUAGCAAGCACCGGCUAACUCCGUGCCAGCAGCCGCGGUAAUACGGAGGGUGCAAACGUUGCUCGGAAUCAUUGGGCGUAAAGCGCACGUAGGCGGUUUGCCAAGUCGGAUGUGAAAGCCCUGGGCUCAACCCAGGAAGUGCAUUCGAAACUAGCAGACUUGAAUAUGGAAGAGGGUCGCGGAAUUCCCGGUGUAGAGGUGAAAUUCGUAGAUAUCGGGAGGAACACCAGUGGCGAAGGCGGCGACCUGGGCCAAUAUUGACGCUGAGGUGCGAAAGCGUGGGGAGCAAACAGGAUUAGAUACCCCCGUAGUCC
rnacentral:rRNA from 1 species